AAGUCGUAACAAGGUUUCCGUAGGUGAACCUGCGGAAGGAUCAUUAACACUUUUUUUUUUAUUUUUCUCUUCUUUUUUUUUUAAUUAAAAAGAGAAAAAUAAUAAACAAAACCCCACAAUUUUGGAUGAAUUUAAUUAUUUAAUUUUUUAUUUUUUUUAUUAUUAACUCUUUAUAACUUUUUGGACUAACAUGUUAAUUUUUUAAUUUAAAAAAAAUUUAAAAAACAACUCUUAACAACGGAUAUCUUGGCUCUC
rnacentral:misc_RNA from 1 species